GUAAUAGGACAAUUUGCAACAUGUGUACUAAAACUGAAAAAGUAUGGAGAAGAUUAGAAUAACUGUUGCACAAGGACAACACUCGAAUUUGUGAAGCAUUCUGUAUUUUU
rnacentral:snRNA from 1 species